rnacentral:misc_RNA from 1 species
AUAUUGGAGAUAAAAUGAGAGAGGUUCAUUUUAGAUGAAUUGUUCAUGUCAAAUGCAGAUAAUCAAAUGUCUACAAAAAUAUGAUGAGUUAAUAGAGAAAUGAGUGAGAAGGAAAAAUGAGAGGCUUAAGAUGAAGUUGAGGGACACAGUAUCAAAAGAUGUACAAGUUUUGGAUAUUGAUGCAUACCUAAUGUUUAACACAGUUGGAUAGCGUAAAAAAAUCCAUACCCCUACUAGGUUAAGAUUAAGACUUAGUAGUAGUUGUUGUUGUUAUUACCUCAAAAUUGUCUAUUGUAGCAAAUGUCAUAUCAAAAAGACGUAUAAAACAAAUAAUUCUCUAUGCGUUUGUUGGACAUCUCCAUUUCUCUCUCCCCUAUGUUUUUUUCCACAAAACUCCAAUCCAGCAAACUCCAAUUCAUCAACCUUACCUCAAAUUCAAUCAACAAAGUAAUCAGCAAGCCUAAAGAAAUACAACCAAAAUCAACAAGCUUAGUCUAUUGAUCAUUAAAUAACCCACAAGCAACAAAUUCAGCCAAAUUGAACAAGUGUAGUCUAUUUAAAACCUAAUCAAAAAGAAAUCCAAAGAACAAAAUAACAAACAACCAAUUGGAGCAACAAACCCAACGAGAAAUAAGAAGGGGAAGUGGCAAUUGAACCUGUCCACCAUUUUUGGUUUCCCCAACACCAUCCAAGCCAAUUAGACCAUCUUCCACCUUUUCUGGUCAUCAAUGAACCUCUCCCAGUUGUUUGAUUUCAUUAGGAAUUUGAAGGAGAAUUAAAUUAAAGUUGGAGUUUGAACUUGCGACAUUUGAUUUGAGCAAUACAAGGCUUGUUUUUGCGUGUAAAGGCUAUCAUUGAGUACAAUGGCACUUUAGUCAAUUAUUUGUGUGUGUGUGUGUUUUAAAAUGAGAUUAUUCAGUCAAUUCCUUAAUCCUUGUGCAAAAACCUUAAAAAACAAGUGAAAUGAGAUGGAUGGGGUAUUAUUAUUAUUAUUAUUUUAAU